UACGUAGGGUGCAAGCGUUAAUCGGAAUUACUGGGCGUAAAGCGUGCGCAGGCGGCUAUGUAAGACAGAUGUGAAAUCCCCGGGCUCAACCUGGGAACUGCAUUUGUGACUGCAUGGCUAGAGUACGGUAGAGGGGGAUGGAAUUCCGCGUGUAGCAGUGAAAUGCGUAGAUAUGCGGAGGAACACCGAUGGCGAAGGCAAUCCCCUGGACCUGUACUGACGCUCAUGCACGAAAGCGUGGGGAGCAAACAGG
rnacentral:rRNA from 1 species